GAUGAAGAACGCAGCGAAAUGCGAUAAGUAAUGUGAAUUGCAGAAUUCAGUGAAUCAUCGAAUUUUUGAACGCACCUUGCGCCCCUUGGUAUUCCGAGGGGCAUGCCUGUUCGAGCGUCAUUAUAACCCCUCAAGCUCAGCUUGGUGUUGGGGCCUGCUGCACUGGCAGCCCUUAAAAUCAGUGGCGGCGCCAUCUGGCUCUAAGCGUAGUAAUUCUUCUCGCUAUGGAGUCCUGGUGGAUGCUUGCCAUCAACCCCCAAUUUUUCUAUGGUUGACCUCGGAUCAGGUAGGGAUACCCGCUGAACUUAAGCAUAUCAAUAAGCGGAGGA
rnacentral:misc_RNA from 1 species